rnacentral:rRNA from 1 species
GGUUCCGGGGGGAGUAUGGUCGCAGGGCUGAAACUUAAAGGAAUUGACGGAAGGGCACCCCCAGGAGUGGAGCCUGCGGCUUAAUUUGACUCAACACGGGAAAACUUACCAGGUCCAGACAUAGGUAGGAUUGACAGAUUGAGAGUUCUUUCAUGAUUUUAUGGGGGGUGGGGCAUGGCCGUUUUUAGUUGGUGGAGUGAUUUGUUUGGUUAAUUCCGUUAACGAACGAGACCUCGGCUUAUUAAAUAGUGCGUGGUAUGGCAACAUAGUACGUUUUAACUUUUUAGAGGGACAUGUCCGGUUUACGGGCAGGAAGUUCGAGGCAAUAACAGGUUUGUGAUGCCCUUAGAUGUUUUGGGCCGCACGCGCGCUACACUGAUGGGUUCAUCGGGUUUUAAUUUUAUUUUUUGGAAUUGAGUGCUUGGUCGGAAGGCCUGGCUAAUCCUUGGAACGCUCAUCGUGCUGGGGCUAGAUUUUUGCAAUUAUUAAUCUCCAACGAGGAAUUCCUAGUAAACGCAAGUCAUCAGCUUGCAUUGAAUACGUCCCUGCCCUUUGUACACACCGCCCGUCGCACCUACCGAUUGAACGGUCCGAUGAAACCAUGGGAUGUUUCUGUUUGGAUUGAUUUUUGGACAGAGGCAGAACUCGGGUG